GGCGGACGGGUGAGUAACGCGUGGGUAACCUGCCUUAUACAGGGGGAUAACAGUCAGAAAUGGCUGCUAAUACCGCAUAAGCGCACAGAGCUGCAUGGCUCAGUGUGAAAAACUCCGGUGGUAUAAGAUGGACCCGCGUUGGAUUAGCUUGUUGGUGGGGUAACGGCCCACCAAGGCGACGAUCCAUAGCCGGCCUGAGAGGGUGAACGGCCACAUUGGGACUGAGACACGGCCCAGACUCCUACGGGAGGCAGCAGUGGGGAAUAUUGCACAAUGGGGGAAACCCUGAUGCAGCGACGCCGCGUGAAGGAGGAAGUAUCUCGGUAUGUAAACUUCUAUCAGCAGGGAAGAUAGUGACGGUACCUGACUAAGAAGCCCCGGCUAACUACGUGCCAGCAGCCGCGGUAAUACGUAGGGGGCAAGCGUUAUCCGGAUUUACUGGGUGUAAAGGGAGCGUAGACGGUGUGGCAAGUCUGAUGUGAAAGGCAUGGGCUCAACCUGUGGACUGCAUUGGAAACUGUCAUACUUGAGUGCCGGAGGGGUAAGCGGAAUUCCUAGUGUAGCGGUGAAAUGCGUAGAUAUUAGGAGGAACACCAGUGG
rnacentral:rRNA from 1 species